rnacentral:rRNA from 1 species
UGACGUCAAGUCCUCAUGGCCCUUACGGGCUGGGCUACACACGUGCUACAAUGGUGGUGACAGUGGGAUGCAAAAGGGCGACCUCUAGCAAAUCUCCAAAAGCCAUCUCAGUUCGGAUUGCACUCUGCAACUCGAGUGCAUGAAGUUGGAAUCGCUAGUAAUCGUGGAUCAGCAUGCCACGGUGAAUACGUUCCCGGGCCUU